UGGCUCUGUUGAUCCAUUUGCUCCAAGUGCUGCUGGCGCUCAUUGACCAACAUCAGGGCAAAGGACUUCAGCUUGACCAGCUCCUCUUGCACCUUGGCCAGACGUUUAGAGUGCUCCUUCUCCUUUCUCACUUGAUGGCUGGAGGAGAACACAUUGAUAAGGAUGAGAUGAUGACACGCCUCCAACUCACCUGAGAGACUGGAUGUCAAAACAGACAUGGCAGCUUUGUGCAUGCUUCUGUGUUGGUGUUGGUGCUAAUAUUUUCAUGCAAACUUCCUGUUUUUGUGACCUUCCAUGGCCCUCAUUCUCCAGGCCAGUUUUAUGUCCUUUCAUGGCAACAGAUGCAGAAGAACCUGGGCUCUGCAGGUGCUGACAGAUCAAGACCUUUACUUUCUCUGUGAGGUGACUGAGGCCUGUGCAUGAGCCAAGGAACCUUCUGGAAACUACCUGGCAUUAGAAGGAGGUCAACUCUUUCUUGCAUGCAAACCAAGGAUCAAAUGAAAGUAAAGUGCUCGUGGACGGUGCGGCGAUGGCACUUCUCAGCGAGCAGCAACUGACCCAGCAUCCGUCGGUACGUGUCUUUGUGCUUCUCCUGCAGUCGUUCCAGCUGCAAAAACAGCAAUGAUGCACAGUCACAGCCGCACAGGGACAUGCGCAAACACAUGCAGCAGGUCAAAGGAAUACAAUAUGUCACAUACAAUGGGGAACAACAUCCAACCCACCUGAACCUCUCCCUCCAUGAUGCCCAGCAGUUUCAGUAGAUCCUCUUUAGACAGAUCCAUGAUGUCCCUGCUUUUUUCUCCAG